rnacentral:lncRNA from 1 species
AGACUCAGAUCGAAGUCCGGUCUCUAAUCGCCGUCCGUUCUUCAAAUCGACGUCCAAUGCUGACGUCACAAUAAAAUAAGAUUCCAAAUCGACGGCCAAUCCUAUCACCCUCUAAUCGACGACCAAUUUUUAACUUCUCUAAUCCACGUCCGUUUUAAUGGACCUAUGGAAAGAUCCAAAAGCCGAGACUCAGACAUAUUUGGCCAACAUACCGUAUUAUACGGAAAUAUAUCUAAAACAAAUGAAUAAAACUGCCGAAAUUACAGAACUAAAACUUGAAUUGUCCGAGAGAGGAGUAAAGACAGUUGUAGGUCAAUAUUUUUACAACCAAAACAUAGUAUAUGUGACAAAUAAAAGGUAUAAAACAUAUUUUUUUUAAUUGUGCUUCCGAUGUUUACAGGUAGUAAUAUUAAUUUUGUUGUAACUUAGGAGCUUCUUAAAAAACAAUGAGAUGUGGUGUGAUAGCUAAUCGGACAACUAUUAUACACCAGAGUUGAAAUGAAGUGUUUGUAAGCAAUUAUAUAGCCCUUUACCUUUAUAGCUUGCUGUUUGGUGUAAGCCAAGGCUCCGUGUUUAAGACCGUAUUUUGACCUAUUAUGUUUUUUUUUUAUAACUGAAACUUGGAUUGAGAGUUGUCUCAUUGCCACUCAUACCACAUUUUCUUAUAUCUAUAGGCAACCGUACGUCCUUCAACAAUGCUAAAGUCGGCAAUUAAAGGCCACCACAACAUGAAACAUAUAAAACAAUUAUUAUAAAACUAAAAACUGACUUAUAACAAAAAAAUCCGAAAAUGCAAGACAUAAACCAACGACAACGGUGAACCACUAGACUACAGACACAUAAAAUAUUUGGCUGGGUUUAACAUGUUUGUGAGCGCUUAAUCUUCCAUUAACCUGGAACAGUGGUGUAACAGCACAACAUAAAAACAUAAUGCCAAUUUAUUUUGUACAUUUUUCACUCCAGGUGUAAAACUAAUGAAUUUGUUGAAUACUAGUAUAUCUUACAGAGUUCAAAUUAUAAUACCCUAAAAUCAGUUGGUACUUUCUCCUUCAUUUUGUCCAUUGUUGAAAACUGAGUGUUGCCCAAUAUCAAUGUCGUUUUGUUUUCUUUGUCGUUGGGUUCCUAUAUCUUAAUACGUAUACUCACAUGCCAUUUAUCAAUAUGCAUGUAUAAGUGUAAGUGCAGCAAUUAUUAUUUAUUAUUCAUUGAUUCAUUGAAAUUAAGAAGACUACAAUAGUUAUCGAAGGUACCAGGAUUAUAAUUUAGUACGCCAGACGCGCGUUUCAUCUA